UACGUAGGGUGCAAGCGUUAAUCGGAAUUACUGGGCGUAAAGCGUGCGCAGGCGGUUUUUCAAGUCUGUCGUGAAAGCUCCGGGCUCAACCUGGGAAUUGCGAUGGAGACUGCAAGGCUUGAAUCUGGCAGAGGGGGGUAGAAUUCCACGUGUAGCAGUGAAAUGCGUAGAGAUGUGGAGGAACACCGAUGGCGAAGGCAGCCCCCUGGGUCAAGAUUGACGCUCAUGCACGAAAGCGUGGGGAGCAAACAGG
rnacentral:rRNA from 1 species